rnacentral:lncRNA from 1 species
AAAUUAAGCAUCCGAACCUAUGAUAUAAGACAUCAUGACGUAAAAAAGAGUAUGCAGUCAGUACAUUGAAUGUACUGGUAUAUGUAUGAGGUUAGUCAAAAAUACAUGGGGUACUGUGCAUAAGAGGUAAUGACUAACUGAAAGCAUAAAAUAACUGAAUAUGAAUGCAUGAAAACAGUGAUGUAUGAGAAUGCAAGAACAAACAUAAAUCUGCAAUCCGAAAUAAGUCUGAAAGCUGAAAGACUGUAAACUAUAUAUCUGAAUAACUAAAAGUCUGUACACUUGGUUGUCACACUCCUAUUUUUUACCGCAUCCGACCCCGCUAUGAAACUGGUUUUAGAGAAAAAUAAAUUUUUUCAAAUAAAGUGACGUUUUAAAUAGGGAUUAAUUUAUUUACAGAGUCGUCACUUAGAAUUAAGUUUGGGAGUUCCAAGUCACCUUAUUGAAUCCCCAAUAAAAAGAAAAUGACUCUUUGUUUUAUUAAUCUGCGAACUAGAAAUCCAGAUAAGGAAUUCUGUUGACCGAGGGGAAGGUGUGAGGCACCCCUCGAGUUCCGUGGUUCUAGCACGUUCGCUUUAAUGACUUACGUCUGGCUUAAAUUAAUCUUUUAGAUAUAUAAAAUAUUUUUUAGCCUAAAAGUUACUUACAUCUUGCUUUUAAUUUAUUUUAAAUUAUUUGAUAUAUUAUCAUGUUAUAUUAAUGUGUGGCUCGCAGGUAGCAGUACUUUCCUGCCUCACCACAAGUUUUGAUAUAUUUCUUACGCCUUUGAGGCAUUUAUGGAUCGCUCCCAUUUUUCAAGUCUAGAUAAACACCUAACAGGUUUAGAAUCUACUCAACCUAGUUCAAACGACUUCAAAUGGUAUGUUGAUUUUUUAUUACAACGAAUAGUCGGUAGCAGGGCUUUCCAACUUCAUCGUUAAUUUUCCCUUGUAUAUUAAAUCUUAAUUAUUUAGAGGAUAAGAACCUAACUUAUUAUUUUACAAGUUCACUCCCUUACAAUUUACAAUAGAUUUUUUUUUUCUCUUUCUUUUUAAUUAUGACUAUAUAUAUAUACUCUUGCACACAAAUUAUUGAUACAUAAACUUAAACAAACAUUACUUGAAAACCACAUUAAUAUAAUUCGCAACACAGCUAAUUAAUAGAGUCACAUUUACUGAAACUACCAUUACAAAGUUAACCCAAAAAUUAAAAGAUCACAUAUUGCAUUUAACCAAUUUAUUACAACGAAAUUAACAUAUAGAAAAUAAAAUUUUGUAAUCACACCAUUUCUUUUAAAUGAAUGAAACAACUAUUUAUUAUUUUUCUUUUACUACUUUUGAAACAACUAUAACUUUUUAAAACUUGUUUAUCAUUUACAUAUAUAAUACAUGGGCCUAUUAUUGCUACCACUAUUUAUGACCACAGACUACAGAGAAUAUAAAAUACCACAAAUUAAAGGCAACAUUACUCAUGUAUUGUGUCGGCUUGAUGAUUUGGGAAUCUCUUAAUUUACAGUAGGUUUAGAUAUCAAGGUCAUGCAUGCAUGGGUCACGUAUUAGCUAGGAUAUAUCAUAAAUACUUUCUACGUAACCUUUUCAAUCUUUCAACGUUAUUAACUUUAAUAACUAUCUCAUUUAAAAUUUAAAACUAGUUUAAUUAACAUUAUUUCGAAAAAAUAACACAUGAGUUAUGAAUAAAGACGUAGACAUGAACUACAUAUAAAUAAUAAACUACACAUAAUAAAUAACAUAACAAGCCAUGAGAAUAACUUUAUUCAUUCUUUAAUCAACAACAAAAUAUAUAAAAUGGUAUAAAUGGAUAAGAACCUGGAAGAUGAACUGAUUAAAAAAAAUACGAACGACGUCCGAAAACUCUAACGGAAACCCUCACGAAUUCGAUCCGCUACUUCUUUUCCUCUCUUUUUCCUUUAAAUCUUUCCUCUCUUUAUGCGUUUUCCUCUCUAUUUUUCUUCUGGUUUCUUUCUUUUUUUCAGUGUUUCUGCCUUUUGUUUAGUUUUCUUCUUGGUUUUUGCUUUGUUUUUUUCUUGUUUUUCUUUUGUGUUGUCUUCUCUAAUUGUCUUAUUUUUUCUUCCUCUCCCUUUUUCUUUUUGUGCAGACGUCCUUCUUUGUUUCCCUAAUCCUCCCUCUCCUCUUUUUCCUUCUUCCUCUCUUCCCCUCUCUGUCUGUUUUCUUUUUUGGUUCUCUUUGUCCGUCCACCUCUUGUG